UACGUAAGGUGCAAGCGUUGUCCGGAAUUAUUGGGCGUAAAGAGCUCGUAGGCGGUUCGUCGCGUCGGCUGUGAAAACCUGAGGCUCAACCUCAGGCCUGCAGUCGAUACGGGCGGACUUGAGUACUGCAGGGGAGACUGGAAUUCCUGGUGUAGCGGUGAAAUGCGCAGAUAUCAGGAGGAACACCGGUGGCGAAGGCGGGUCUCUGGGCAGUAACUGACGCUGAGGAGCGAAAGCGUGGGGGAGCGAACAGG
rnacentral:rRNA from 1 species